AUACGGAGGGGGCUAGCGUUGUUCGGAAUUACUGGGCGUAAAGCGCGCGUAGGCGGUUUGCCAAGUCAGGCGUGAAAGCCCCGGGCUCAACCCGGGAACUGCGUUUGAAACUGGCAGGCUUGAGGCCGGGAGAGGGUAGUGGAAUUCCCAGUGUAGAGGUGAAAUUCGUAGAUAUUGGGAAGAACACCAGUGGCGAAGGCGGCUACCUGGACCGGUUCUGACGCUGAGGUGCGAAAGCGUGGGGAGCAAACAGGAUUAGAUACCCUAGUAGUCC
rnacentral:rRNA from 1 species